UCAGUGUAAUGAACGUGAAAAAUAGUAAUCAAAUAAAACUUUCAACAACGGAUCUCUUGGCUCUCGCAUCGAUGAAGAACGCAGCGAAAUGCGAUAAGUAAUGUGAAUUGCAGAAUUCAGUGAAUCAUCGAAUCUUUGAACGCACCUUGCGCCUUUUGGUAUUCCGAAAGGCAUGCCUGUUUGAGUGUCAUGAAUUCUCAACCCCUCGGGUUUUGCGACCCGGGAAGGUUGGACUUGGGCGUUGCCGGUCACACGGCUCGCCUUAAAAGCGUUAGUGGGAUAACCCUCGUGAUCGACGUGAUAAGUUCUCGUUGCGACCUUGGGUGACGUCCGCUCACAACCCCCAUAUUCUUAGACUCUGACCUCAAAUCAGGUAGGACUACCCGCUGAACUUAAGCAUAUCA
rnacentral:rRNA from 1 species